rnacentral:rRNA from 1 species
GACGAACGCUGGCGGCGUGCCUAAUACAUGCAAGUUGAGCGCUGAAGGUUGGUACUUGUACCCACUGGAUGAGCAGCGAACGGGUGAGUAACGCGUGGGGAAUCUGCCUUUGAGCGGGGGACAACAUUUGGAAACGAAUGCUAAUACCGCAUAAAAACUUUAAACACAAGUUUUAAGUUUGAAAGAUGCAAUUGCAUCACUCAAAGAUGAUCCCGCGUUGUAUUAGCUAGUUGGUGAGGUAAAGGCUCACCAAGGCGAUGAUACAUAGCCGACCUGAGAGGGUGAGCGGCCACAUUGGGACUGAGACACGGCCCAAACUCCUACGGGAGGCAGCAGUAGGGAAUCUUCGGCAAUGGACGAAAGUCUGACCGAGCAACGCCGCGGGAGUGAAGAAGGUUGUCGGAUCGUAAAACUCUGUUGGUAGAGAAGAACGUUGGUGAGAGUGGAAAGCUCAUCAAGUGACGGUAACUACCCAGAAAGGGACGGCUAACUCCGUG